rnacentral:rRNA from 1 species
GAUGAACGCUGGCGGCGUGCCUAAUACAUGCAAGUCGAGCGAAUGGAUUAAGAGCUUGCUCUUAUGAAGUUAGCGGCGGACGGGUGAGUAACACGUGGGUAACCUGCCCAUAAGACUGGGAUAACUCCGGGAAACCGGGGCUAAUACCGGAUAACAUUUUGAACCGCAUGGUUCGAAAUUGAAAGGCGGCUUCGGCUGUCACUUAUGGAUGGACCCGCGUCGCAUUAGCUAGUUGGUGAGGUAACGGCUCACCAAGGCAACGAUGCGUAGCCGACCUGAGAGGGUGAUCGGCCACACUGGGACCGAGACACGGCCCAGACGCCUACGGGAGGCAGCAGUAGGGAAUCUUCCGCAAUGGACGAAAGUCUUACGGAGCAACGCCGCGUGAGUGAUGAAGGCUUUCGGGUCGUAAAACUCUGUUGUUAGGGAAGAACAAGUGCUAGUUGAAUAAGCUGGCACCUUGACGGUACCUAACCAGAAAGCCACGGCUAACUACGUGCCAGCCGCCGCAGUAA